rnacentral:rRNA from 1 species
GAUGAACGCUAGCUACAGGCUUAACACAUGCAAGUCGAGGGGCAGCAUUUCAGUUUGCUUGCAAACUGGAGAUGGCGACCGGCGCACGGGUGAGUAACACGUAUCCAACCUGCCGAUAACUCGGGGAUAGCCUUUCGAAAGAAAGAUUAAUACCCGAUGGCAUAAUUAGACCGCAUGGUCUUAUUAUUAAAGAAUUUCGGUUAUCGAUGGGGAUGCGUUCCAUUAGGCAGUUGGUGAGGUAACGGCUCACCAAACCUUCGAUGGAUAGGGGUUCUGAGAGGAAGGUCCCCCACAUUGGAACUGAGACACGGUCCAAACUCCUACGGGAGGCAGCAGUGAGGAAUAUUGGUCAAUGGGCGCAGGCCUGAACCAGCCAAGUAGCGUGAAGGAUGACUGCCCUAUGGGUUGUAAACUUCUUUUAUAUGGGAAUAAAGUUUUCCACGUGUGGAAUUUUGUAUGUACCAUAUGAAUAAGGAUCGGCUAACUCCGUGCCAGCAGCCGCGGUAAUACGGAGGAUCCGAGCGUUAUCCGGAUUUAUUGGGUUUAAAGGGAGCGUAGGUGGACAGUUAAGUCAGUUGUGAAAGUUUGCGGCUCAACCGUAAAAUUGCAGUUGAUACUGGCUGUCUUGAGUACAGUAGAGGUGGGCGGAAUUCGUGGUGUAGCGGUGAAAUGCUUAGAUAUCACGAAGAACUCCGAUUGCGAAGGCAGCUCACUGGACUGCAACUGACACUGAUGCUCGAAAGUGUGGGUAUCAAACAGGAUUAGAUACCCUGGUAGUCCACACAGUAAACGAUGAAUACUCGCUGUUUGCGAUAUACAGUAAGCGGCCAAGCGAAAGCAUUAAGUAUUCCACCUGGGGAGUACGCCGGCAACGGUGAAACUCAAAGGAAUUGACGGGGGCCCGCACAAGCGGAGGAACAUGUGGUUUAAUUCGAUGAUACGCGAGGAACCUUACCCGGGCUUAAAUUGCAUUUGAAUAUAUUGGAAACAGUAUAGCCGUAAGGCAAAUGUGAAGGUGCUGCAUGGUUGUCGUCAGCUCGUGCCGUGAGGUGUCGGCUUAAGUGCCAUAACGAGCGCAACCCUUAUCUUUAGUUACUAACAGGUCAUGCUGAGGACUCUAGAGAGACUGCCGUCGUAAGAUGUGAGGAAGGUGGGGAUGACGUCAAAUCAGCACGGCCCUUACGUCCGGGGCUACACACGUGUUACAAUGGGGGGUACAGAAGGCAGCUACCUGGUGACAGGAUGCUAAUCCCAAAAGCCUCUCUCAGUUCGGAUCGAAGUCUGCAACCCGACUUCGUGAAGCUGGAUUCGCUAGUAAUCGCGCAUCAGCCAUGGCGCGGUGAAUACGUUCCCGGGCCU